GACGAACGCUGGCGGCGUGCUUAACACAUGCAAGUCGAACGGAAAGGCCUGCUUUCCCUUGUGGAUUGCGGGUACUCGAGUGGCGAACGGGUGAGUAACACGUGAGUGAUCUGCCCCCAACUUGGGUAUAAGCCUGGGAAACUGGGUCUAAUUCCCGAUAGGACUGCAGGGUGGUGCCUGUGGUGGAAAACGAUUUUCUAGUGGUUGGGGAUGAGCUCGCGGCCUAUCAGCUUGUUGGUGGGGUAAUGGCCUACCAAGGCGGCGACGGGUAGCCGGCCUGGGAGGGUGGACGGCAACAUUGGGACGGAGAUACGGCCCAGACUCCUACGGGAGGCAGCAGUGGGGAAUAUUGCACAAUGGGCGGAAGCCUGAUGCAGCGACGCCGCGUGGGGGAUGACGGCCUUCGGGUUGUAAACUCCUUUCGACCGCGAGGAAGCCACCUGGUUGGAAGGGUGGUGACGGUAGUGGUAGAAGAAGCACCGGCUAACUACGUG
rnacentral:rRNA from 1 species